GACGAACCGUGCGAACGUUAAUCGGAAUCACUGGGCGUAAAGCGCGCGUAGGCGGUCUGUUAAGUGGGAUGUGAAAUCCCCGGGCUUAACCUGGGAAUUGCAUUUCAAACUGGCCGACUAGAGUACGGUAGAGGGAGGUAGAAUUUCCUGUGUAGCGGUGAAAUGCGUAGAUAUAGGAAGGAAUACCAGUGGCGAAGGCGGCCUCCUGGAUCGAUACUGACGCUGAGGCGCGAAAGCGUGGGGAGCAAACAGG
rnacentral:rRNA from 1 species